rnacentral:misc_RNA from 1 species
AAAGUCGUAACAAGGUUUCCGUAGGUGAACCUGCGGAAGGAUCAUUAACACGUAUCCACGUAUCAAAACCCCUCUGUGCAAACCUCUUCGUAAGGCUUGAUUGGAGUUGUAUUCACUCGAUCUUAAUGAUGGGAGUCCUCUCUCUCUUUUUGAGAAGGGGGGACCCGGGAUCUAUGAGUGUUUACCGCGUUUGACAAUCGGGCCGCUAUUUUUCCAUCGUUAGCCCUUUCUAACUUUUAACCCCUUGUACUUUUUUGUACUGAACCAAUUCUUCGAGUUUCGGCUUCGGCUGAGAUACGAAAGAUAUUACGAAACUAAAGAACAACUCUUAGCAACGGAUAUCUUGGUUCCC